rnacentral:tRNA from 4 species
GCCUCGAUAGCUCAGUGGUAGAGCACUUCCAUGGUAAGGAAGGGGUCGCGAGUUCAAUCCUCGCUCGAGGCU